CACUGGAAACUUUCUCUUCUUGUACCAAGUCCUUCAGAAGUGCCUUCUUCCAGAAACAACUGUUAAACCACUGGAAUAAUAAUGGCCAGGGACAACCAAAGCAUAGUGACAGAAUUCAUCUUUGAAGGCCUUUCCUCCCAGCCAAGGACCCAGACCAUUCUUUUCAUAGUGUUCCUAGUUUUUUAUCUGUUCACAGUUGCUGGGAACAUCAUGAUCAUCACAGUGAUCAGAGCUGAUUGCCAGUUGCAGUCACCCAUGUACUUUUUCCUUGCCAACCUGUCCUUCCUAGAUAUCGGCUACAUCUCCAGCAACAUCCCCCAGAUGCUGGUGAACCUCUGGACCAAGAAGAGGACCAUCUCCUUCUCUGGAUGUGCUGCUCAGAUGUAUUUCUCUCUGGCUUUUGGCAUGACAGAGUGUGUUCUGCUUGGGGUCAUGGCCUAUGAUCGAUACAUGGCAAUAUGUCACCCCUUGCUCUACACCACUGUCAUGAACAAGAAGUUCUGCAUUCACAUGGUCGUGGCUUCCUGGACCAUCAGCCUGCUGAGCUCCAUGGUCAUCAACAGCCUCACGUUGCGGCUGCCCUUCUGUGGGCCUGACAUCUUGAACCAUUACUUCUGUGAAGUGCCAGCCAUGCUGGCUUUGGCCUACACUGACACUACCCUCGUGGUGUUGGUCAUCUUCAUCUUCAGCAUCCUCAUAGCCUUCAUCCCUUUUCUUCUGAUCAUCACCUCCUACAUCCAUAUCCUUUUCGCCAUCUUGAAGAUUCAGUCUGCACACGUGCAAUCCAAGGCCUUCUCCACCUGUGGAUCCCACCUAAUGGUGGUCACCAUGGACCUGUUAUAACGUAAGGACUGCUCCCAUGGGACACGCUGGAGAUGAUCAGGAAGAGCACAUGCAACUGAAGCUGUCCAGAGCUCUGCCCAGGAACCACUCAGGGCUCUGCAAGCUGAGAAGAUUUGGUUGCAAGUGAUUUGUCUCUGUGGAAGAAGCUGCUUUACCCAGAGAGCUUCCAGCUGCUUUGGAAGAGCAGGGAGCUGUGGAGAAGCCCUGUGGUGGGGAACAUGGGGUUGCUGCCAUCAUGAUGUACAGCACUUCUGACACACCCGAUAGCCUCACAGUGGCCAUGACCUCACUGUCCCCACCCUGUCCCCAGGGGACAAAACAGCUGCACGUGCUCUGGUGCCCUUGAUGCCAGCGCCACCAUGCUGGACGCCAUGGGGCUGAGCCAGCACAGCUGGCUCCCCCUUCUCUGGGCCAGCAUCUUCCUCCUGCUCCUGGCCACCUGGGCCACCCAGGCCACCCAGCGCUGCCGGUGCAGCGUCUCCAGCAAUCGGCACCAGGUAGGAGGGAGGCUCCUGGGGAGCCCUUCCCAGGGAGACCGGCCAGUGACAGAGCCCCUGCUCUGUGUGAGGGUCCCUGGCCUCAGGGGGGGAAUUGGGGCUGUCAGGGACCCCCACGCAGCACGUGCCGGGGCUCAGCCACGGUCACUCAACCAGUGCUGCUGUGCCUGCAGGUCUCUCCUCGCAGCCGGUGGUGGUGGAGGAGGCUGACGGAAGCUCGGUACCCAGGUGAGGCCAUGUGGUGGGGCCAGUGUGCCCAGCUGACCAUACUCACAGCCCCCAGCAGCAGAGCUGCUGUCACACCCUUAAGAUGUGGUUUUCCUGGGGUUUGCUAUAGAACAAGCCCACCCCAGGGCCCUGGGGGGGCAUCCCGUCCCUCCCAUACGACCAGCUGUCCCUGCUGGGUCCCUCUUCCUACCCCCUGGGUCCUGCUGGGAGGAGGAACAAAGAGGGGAUAUCCAUGG